UUUACUAUUUAUUAUUUAAUUUUGGUGUGUGCAUGUAAUUUUGUUUUGAUUUAUAAUCACCAAUGACCUUAAUUUUUAUUUGUCUAGUAAUCUUUAAGGUAUUAAUUUAAUUUUGUAGGGUGGAAAUAUUAGCAAGGAUCAUUGCCAAGUGAAUUAAUUUGCUUGAUUAUUGUUAAUUGCAAGAGGUACGUAUGUUCUCUUAUUUUUUUUUAUAAAUAUUAUUAUAAAAAUGUUAGAGGAGUUUGAAUAUCUUAAAUAUUCAUCCAUAGUGAAGUAGGUUCUGAGAUUAAAAGUGUGUGUUGCGGUGAUAAUAGAAGGUUGAGAACUUGUGUGCUUUAGUGAAGUAGUUUCUGGGAAAUUUAUUUGCGUGCUGCGGAGAUAUAAGGAAGAAACUUAUUGUGUGUUGUUUGAAUUGCUUGAUUCUCUAUUGACAGAUGGUUAUGUUACUAUUACAAGGGAAAUGUUGCCCAAAUUCAUCUAGAAUUAUGUUUUAUUUUCUUAUAUUGAAAUUAUGUUGUGCUUGCAUUGUUCUUGUUUGAUUGGUAUAGGGAAGCUCUGUCAAAAUUUGAGUUAAAAAGAUAGUGUAUUAAUAGGAAUAUGACAGCACUAAAAACUUGUUAUUGGAAUUUUCUACGUGUAGGAGGAUUUUAGUCCAAUUUUAGAGAAACCUCUGUCGAAUUUUUUCUAGGAAAUGGACAAGAGUUGGAUAACAAAGUACAGACUUUCAAAAGAGUAUGAAGAGGGAGUCGACAGCUUUAUUAAGUUAGCCUUAGAAAAUACAACAGAUCCUUCUAGAGUUCAUUGUCCCUGUAGAAAAUGUUCAAAUUUGAAAAAAAUAAACAUAUGGAGAUAAAGAGUCAUCUUUUCUUUAACGGAAUGGACCAAAUAUAUGUCAAGUGGAUUUGGCAUGGAGAAGAAUAUGACUCUAACAAUAAUGUUUGCAAUGAAAGAAAGCAAUUUGAUUAAGUAUUUGAUGACCCUAUAGAGAUGGUGAGAGAUGCAGAUGAACGUUUUGUUGAUAAGCCUGAAGAAUUUUUGAAAUUUUUAGAAGAUGCAGAGAAACCAAUAUUCUUGGGGACACCUUUGUCAAAAUUGGUUGUUUUAGUAAAACUAUACAACUUGAAAGUUGGUAGUGGUUGGAGUGACACAAGUUUCACAAAGUUAUUAACUUUAUUAAAAGAGAUUUUACCAAAAGACAAUGAAUUGCCUUCCUUGCGUUAUGAAGCAAAAAAAAACAUUGUGCACAUUAGGAAUAGAGUAUAGCAAGAUCCACGCUUGUCCAAAUGAUUGCGUUCUAUAUCGAAGCUAGUGCCCUGAUACUCUUCAAGAUUCUUAGUGGGGUUCCUCCCUUUCUCAAGUGUCUAUUAACUACCGUGAAGUAUGUGGAGCCAAGUUUCAUGAUCAAAGUUCCGAUGGAUUUUGAGAUAUUAGGCCAUGAGAAUGAUUUAUAUAUCUCACAAGAAGAUAUAGUCCAUGUUGGCUUAAUGGAAGAGAUUGGAGCAUCAUGUGUAUCGUUAUAUAUCAGGAUUUCAUACUUCCAAUUAGUGAAAAGAGAGAUCAGUCACUUUUUUCGUUUUGUUGAGCCAAUUUGGUUAUCAAAUGUUGGAUCUACUGAAAAAGAACGAGUUGAAUGGGUAUCAAAGCGUAUGAUUGAUUCAAAUCCAGGUUAGAUGUGGUUGUUGCCAUAUCAUAAGAGGUAAGUUUUUUACUUUUAGUAUUUUGUUAAUGAAUAUAUAUAAUAUUAAUAAUGAAAUAUUUUUGUGUUGCUGUUAGAAAGCAUUGGAUGCUUAUAAUAAUUGAUUUUGAUCACCAAUUGUGCUAUUUCCUGGAUUCUCUUUACAAUUUUCCACCAGAUGAAAUCAAAUCUCUCAUUUCUCGUGUCUUUCAACAUUUACGCACAAAUAAUGCGAAAACUAAGGAAGUUGCGUGGAGAACAGUUAAGUGUCCUCGUCAACCAUUACAAUCAGUACAAUGUGGAUUCUAUGUUAUGAGAAUGAUGAAGGACUUCAUGACAAAUGAAUUUUCAAUGCGAUGGCUAACUAGUAACUGUGGCGGGAAGAACUAUUACACAAAGGAUGAGAUCAAUGAAGUACGUGAAGAAUGGGCACAAUGCAUCAUGGAUUUGAUGAGUACUACAUAGGUCCACCCACUUUUGUUAACUUAGACUUUUAAUGAGAUAUACUUACAAUGUUAACUUAAACUUUCUUGAAGAUAUACACACUUUUGUUGUCCAACUAUAGUUUACAAUGCUUAUAUGAGUCAUUUUGUAAUUAACUUAAGACUCGUUAUUUUAGAUACUUAGUUCAAAUUCUAGUA